UACGUAGGUGGCAAGCGUUGUCCGGAAUUACUGGGCGUAAAGGAUGUGUAGGUGGAUAUUUAAGUGAGAUGUGAAAAUCCCCCGGGCUUAACCUGGGGGCUGCAUUUCAAACUGGGUAUCUAGAGUGCAGGAGAGGAAAGCGGAAUUCCUAGUGUAGCGGUGAAAUGCGUAGAUAUCGGAAGGAACACCAGUGGCGAAAGCGGCUUCCUGGUCCAGCACCGACGUCAGGCACGAAAGCGUGGGGAGC
rnacentral:rRNA from 1 species